GGGCGUGUGGCGUAGUUGGUAGCGCGUUCCCUUAGCAUGGGAAAGGUC
rnacentral:tRNA from 1 species